AUACUUUUCUCGAUACUUUGGCUAAGAUCAAGUAUGAUAUCUGUUUUUAUCAGUUUAGUAUCUAAUAUGUGGACCAUGUGUCUCCAACAAUAUUAAAUUUAUUUUGUAUGGUAGAGGGUCCACCAUGGUAGCUUGCUGCCGGGGCUCUAACGUGUUGCCCCGACGUUGCACUAUUGUCUGGGCCUGGCGCACCCCAA
rfam:Triticum aestivum genome assembly, contig: Triticum_aestivum_CS42_TGACv1_scaffold_380260_5AL